AUGACGUCAAGUCCUCAUGGCCUUUAUUGACCAGGGCUACACACGUACUACAAUGGCCGGUACAAAGGGCAGCGACACAGCGAUGUGAAGCCAAUCCCGAAAAGCCGGUCUCAGUCCGGAUUGGAGUCUGCAACUCGACUCCAUGAAGUUGGAAUCGCUAGUAAUCGCGGAUCAGCACGCCGCGGUGAAUACGUUCCCGGGCCUU
rnacentral:rRNA from 1 species